CAAAUGCAUGGACAAGGUGCGAGAUUCGAAAACGAUUCUGGAACAUUGGCAGUCAAAGGUCAAAUCCAAAAUCUGAGACACGGAGCUCUUGGAAGGAAGUCGAGACACAUUGUCAUCCUUCCGACUGUUUUUGCUGUGAGCAAUGAUUCUGAUGUCAGCAUCACGUAAUCAGCACAAUUCACAACCUGCUAGCUUGAGCGCACUGACUGGAUUAUAGCCCAACGCUGUACGGAGGCUUCACUGCUACUUGAUGCAUUUGAACGUGUCACAGGAACUUGAAGGUGACAGUUGAUACCUGAAGGUGGAUGCACCGUAAAGCGUGUCUCCGCUGAAUUGAUGAAAAUUUCAGACUACAAAAACUCCGUGUGGAGAUAACACUCGAUCUUCUUCAUGGGUGCCGUAACCAUGGAUACUGAAAGCGAUACGUCACUGGUUUUUGAGAACUCUAGCCAAAGGGAGAGCCUGUUAAGGAAGUUGAACGUCUUGAGGAAAAAUGGUCAACUCUGCGAUGUGACUUUGGUUGUGGGCGAGCAUGAGACCCCUGC